GAGCGAGGACUUCGGUCCUAGCGGCGGACGGGUGAGUAACGCGUGGGAACGUGCCCUUUGCUACGGAAUAGCCCCGGGAAACUGGGAGUAAUACCGUAUGUGCCCUUCGGGGGAAAGAUUUAUCGGCAAAGGAUCGGCCCGCGUUGGAUUAGGUAGUUGGUGGGGUAACGGCCUACCAAGCCGACGAUCCAUAGCUGGUUUGAGAGGAUGAUCAGCCACACUGGGACUGAGACACGGCCCAGACUCCUACGGGAGGCAGCAGUGGGGAAUCUUAGACAAUGGGCGCAAGCCUGAUCUAGCCAUGCCGCGUGAGCGAUGAAGGCCUUAGGGUUGUAAAGCUCUUUCAGCGAGGAAGAUAAUGACUGUACUCGCAGAAGAAGCCCCGGCUAACUCCGUGCCAGCAGCCGCGGUAAUACGGAGGGGGCUAGCGUUGUUCGGAAUUACUGGGCGUAAAGCGCACGUAGGCGGAUCAGAAAGUCAGAGGUGAAAUCCCAGGGCUCAACCUUGGAACUGCCUUUGAAACUCCUGAUCUUGAGUUCGAGAGAGGUGAGUGGAAUUCCGAGUGUAGAGGUGAAAUUCGUAGAUAUUCGGAGGAACACCAGUGG
rnacentral:rRNA from 1 species